GGCGGUGAUCCCCCCACCAAUCGCAGACCCGUAGCGGAUAAAAGUUGGUCGUGUGCCCUACUGCUCGAGUGCCUUAGGGUUCGCCGCCACCAAGUAGAGCGUUGCGCACCGUUUUGAUCGCCGCCGCGGACAUACGGAGAUUUUAGGGGCUGCCAUCACCACACGCCAAUUCUCUGUCAUCGUGCUUACCCGCGGGGGUGCUCGGGGUUGACAGACGGGGCGAAGGGAGCUCGUGUGAAGGACGUCCGGGCCGGAGCCAUCGCGGACACGCCAGUGAGCACCAAGGUGAGCUUUCCGCAGUGGAGUUACCGCGCACUGCGAUAACAUCGCCUCCAGCUCUUCGUCAGGUUAGAAACCCCGAAUUGUGUAUGAUUCAUUCCCAAUUGCGCGCUAGCUCGACGAAUUAGAAUAUGAGGGCGGGAUUUGGCCGAUUUUUGCAGCCGGCCAUGUCCUCGCCGCCGCGGGCGGGGCCUCACCGUGGAUGGGGUCCUGGGCACGUCUUCGGUAUGGGAAGACAAUCCCUGGGCCAUUGAUUUAGUGAUUAACGGCCACGAAUAGAAGAGAGAGUAGGAGGUUUGGAGCCCUUGGAUUAGGCGUGUACGGCUUAGAUUAAAUCUGGGUAGCGUUUCGCCCGCGACCAUUAGAUGUCGAUCGGAUGGUUCGGGUGGGAUCUCUGGUAUUUAAAAUAUGGAUCGUUGGAUGGCGAUCCGAUGGCCAGGAUAGGAUACCGGUUCGACGUGUUUGUGGAUUUAAUCGGCGCCCUCGAUUUUGGAUCCAACGAUCAGAAAACACCUAUACCCCUUCGGCCGCGGCAAUUUUGCUAAAGAACCCCUGCCCUUAUACGAAAUCAACACGCCGUCCUGCGGCAUAGUUCUGUGUCUUGGGAAAAUUUACACCGAGGCCCCUGCGCUUUCCAGAAUUCAUGCGCGCAGUACAAGAACGAGUGAAAUGGGAGAAUUAAUUAUAGAAACUAAUUUUUAAUAAAAAAAUAAUUCUAGGACUUGUUUAAUUCAUAGAAAAUGCAUACUUAGUCCAAAUUAAUCCAUUCCAGUUCCUAUAAUUUUGUAAUAAUGUUGUUUAUCACAUAGUGUCUCUGUUUUGACAUAAAAACCAAAUUGAAAUUUAUCUCUUAAUUAAUCUCGUAUCAAAUACAUAGAACAUUCAGAAAUUCAUAACUCUUCUGUUUUAAUUCCGAAUUGAUUCGUUCAAGUUGCGUUAGCCUUGUAUAAAUAUUUACUAUGCAGUAGUAACAUUUAUUUUAUGAUAUCCCAUACUUUUAUAAUUAGGUAACUAAUUUGAUUAACCUAUAUUUUCGGGAUUAGCUUAUUCUAAUAAUAAUAUAGAAUCAUGAUCUUAGGGUUUAUCUUUGGCCUAAAAGAUGAUUUAUAAUCAAGUAAUGACUUAGAUUAAAGUUGAGUUAACUAAUUCUCUCAUACGAUGUAUACUAAUCAAUUUAUAAUAUAGUUUGAUAUUUUAAUCUCAUAGAUCUUCUAUCAUAACUCUUUAAUCGUAGCUCCGAUCUUAGUGAUUCUCGUUCCCACGAUCUCGUAGCAACGUGUAGGUCAUUAUUAUGCAGCUGGCUCUUAUGUUUGGUGUGAUUUUAAUUUUGUCUAUACCAUGUUUGUUUGUAUUGCUAUGACUAGCAGUGAGGUCAUGAGAAUCUGGGGAUCAUCCUGGUACCUGGAAUCUCAAGUCCCAGGCAAGUUGUGCCCUUGAUCACUUUCAGUUACCCAAUAAUGUUCUUUAUUAUCACUUAUCAAUGCAUAGGUUUAAUUUUGAUGGGACCCAAUAGGUCACUCUAGUCUGAUUAUCUUUUACCUUGUUUACCCCUGAAUCAUUUGGGUAGUUUUGCUAUUGCUUUAUAUGGUUUUGGGUUAAUAUUUCAUUACAUCCAUGUCCCAAUUAUUCUAUUAUUUUAUUUAUGUUCAUGUAAGGAUCAUUAUUUUUAAUUGGAACAUGGAGCUUAACUUGAGAAACACGUGCCACCACAAGGGUGGAAUGGGACGCCCUUGGCUGACUAAUUAGGAAAGCUAGUGGAAGACUACCUUACUCGAAAGGGGUAAGUGCAGUAGGGGAGUAGGCAUGCAGGGAGGUUCUCGGGUUGAUUUUGCUGCGAUGGCGGUCAGACGAGGGAUUCCUGCAAUUGCUCUUCCCAGAAACUGUAGCGUGUUUUCAGAAGCUAGUGGAACUUUGUAAAGGCCUCGUAGUGUUACCCUGCCUCGCUUCCUUGGUAGAGGUGUAUGUGAUUCAUGACCCCUUGGUAGAUGGGUAACAUGACUUGUGGGUAAAGGGUACAACCUCUGCAGAGUGUAAAACUGGUAUACUAGCCGAGCUCACGGUCAAGAGCAGCUCAGGACUCUCGCAUGAUUAAAUUAUGGAACUAAAUUCAAUUUGUUAUUUGCAUUUGCAUGAGAUUAUUUAUUAAUUUUGUUAUUUUAUUCUUAUGGUUUGGUAUUUACUUACAUUUAGUCACUGCUAAUAAAAUUUGACCAACUUAUUAAAAGCAAUGCUCAGCUAUAAACCCUAUUGCUGAUCAGCCUUACACAUCACAUGAACUCCCACCUUUGGUGAGUUCAUGCACAUUAUUCCCCACAACUUGUUGAGCGAUGAACAUGUGUCAGCUCACCCUUGUUGUCUCACAUUUCCCACAGGAGAAGAACAUGUGGUUCAAGAGGAGCCACACAACUAGGAGUUCGAUUUGAUCUAGGUGGCGUCUCCCAGUUGACUUUAUGGCGCCAAGGAUGGACUUUAGUUUGUUUUAUAUGUAUCUUUUAUUUUGUAAGACUUCCGCUAUGUAAUAAGUACUCUGAUUAUAUUGUGACAUUUAUCUCUAUACACUCUGUUAUUAUAUAUGUUGUCUUCUUUGGCGCG
rnacentral:lncRNA from 1 species